GAAAAUGGGUCUUUCUAGUGUUUGUUCGGGUUGGCGUGGGUUGACCCGAAAAUAAGCAGAUACUUAUUAGAAAGGACUCGUCAUAUGUAUAUGACCCGACGACAAGAGGUAAAACUAAGCGAAGGUCCGAGCUGCUAGGGUUUGUUUGUUUCUUUUGGUUCAACGUCAACGAAACUAAAAAUGGCAUUCCUUCUAGGAAAUGAAUUGGAUUACGGUGCUCAUAGGGCUUUGCUUGGAGCACCACAACAAUUUAGGAAGAUCAGAUGAUAUAGUACCAGAACUUGGAACACAGCUCACAUCAGAAAAUACAGGGAAAUUACUACCAACGAAGGGUACUACAUUACUACUUAGAGAUGCUAAAAUAGACAGGUUAUAAUAGGUUGACCAUGAGACUAGUUUACUGCAUACUACCCCAUCUCGAUCUUGCUUUAACUGGGUUAGAGCUUGAGUUAACUGCAUACUUUAUUUUCUAUGCCGAAAAUAGGUGUAAGUGAUCUGAUCAAGAUAAAUUUGAUCUCUGACUUACAGAAGAAAAGCUAAAACUAAUUCUUGUCCAAGCUAAGAACUAACUAUAAUUUGAUUGAUAACCUUUUAAUAA